AGCGCGAAAAGUCAGUAUAAAUAGACCCGAAGCCAGGUGAGCUACACAUGUGCAGGUUGAAAGUUGGGUAAAACCAAGUGGAGGACCGAACCGGUGGGUAGUAAAAAAUCCUCGGAUGACAUGUGUGUAGGAGUGAAAAGCUAAUCGAACCUGGAGAUAUCUGGUUCUCCCCGAAACGUGUGUAGGCACGGCCUUACUGGAAAUUAGUUGGGGUAGAGCACUGAUUGGAGUAAGGGGAAAACCUCUGAAACCAGUCAAACUCCGAAUACAACUAAUAAAGAAGUAGGAGACAGACUACGGAGGAGAAGCUCCGUGGUCGAAAGGGAAACAGCCCAGACCGACAGCUAAGGUUCCGAAGAGAAGGCUAAGUGUGAAAGGUAGUGGAGAUCUUAAGACAGCCAGGAGGUUGGCUUAGAAGCAGCCAUCCUUUAAAGAGUGCGUAACAGCUCACUGGUAGAAGGUCACUGCGCCGAAAAUGAAAAGGAGCUAAAGCCUUACACCGAAGCUACGGAAUAGUACGUAAGUAUUAUUGGUAGGGGAGCAAUGUGUAGUAGGGAGAAGGAUAGAUGUAAAUCUAUUUGGACGAGACACAAGAGCGGAUGCGGGCAUGAGUAACGAAAUGGGAGUGAGAAUCUCCCACCCCGAAAGUCUAAGGGUACCUGGGGAAGGUUCGUCCGCCCAGGGUAAGUCGGGACCUAAGGUAAACCCGAAAGGGGUAGCCGAUGGGAAACAGGUAAAGAAUCCUGUACCGUAACUAUACGAGAUACAAGGUGUGACGCAGGAGGUAAAGAAUUGAGUCCAAGUUGCAAGGCUUUCAAGUAUUAAGUCUGGAGAAAGUUACAGGGAAAACCGUAACUGGAAGAUGAGAUACGAUGAGGAGAGAGAAAAAUCUCAACAAAUUGGAGCCACACUGCCAAGAAAAGCAUCGUGUAUUGGUUGAGUAUAGGGACGCCCGUUCUGAAAACCGACACAGGUAGACGAGUAGAGAAUACUAAGGGGAGCGGAAUAACCUCUGUUAAGGAACUAGGCAAAAUAGCCCCGUAACUUAGGGAGAAGGGGUGCUCCUGGUGGUGUA
rnacentral:rRNA from 1 species